rfam:Triticum aestivum genome assembly, contig: Triticum_aestivum_CS42_TGACv1_scaffold_423217_5BS
UGUAUACUCUCUCCGUUCGAAAAAAAUUGUCUCAAGCUUGUCUCUGAAAUGGAUGUAUCUAACACUAAAUUGGUGCUAGAUUCAUCCACUUGAGGGACAAGCUUUUUUGGACGAAGGGAGUAUUUC